rnacentral:rRNA from 1 species
UACGUAGGGGGCAAGCGUUGUCCGGAUCUAUUGGGCGUAAAGAGCGUGUAGGCGGCUUUACAGGUCCGUUGUGAAAACUCGAGGCUCAACCUCGAGACGCCGGUGGAAACCGUAAGGCUAGAGUCCGGAAGAGGAGAGUGGAAUUCCUGGUGUAGCGGUGAAAUGCGCAGAUAUCAGGAAGAACACCCGUGGCGAAGGCGGCUCUCUGGGACGGUACUGACGCUGAGACGCGAAAGCGUGGGGAGCGAACAGG